GUAGUGAAAACCGCUCCGGGGUGCCCGUACGAAAGGUCCGGUGCGGUGAGGUGGGUAAUCUCCGUGCCCUUGCCGGGGCCCGGAGUGCCAUCUGGCGUUCGGCGUCCGGGAGUUAGUGGCUCCUAGGGCGCCGUCG
rnacentral:ncRNA from 1 species